rnacentral:rRNA from 1 species
AUUGAACGCUGGCGGCAGGCCUAACACAUGCAAGUCGAGCGGAUGAAGGGAGCUUGCUCCUGGAUUCAGCGGCGGACGGGUGAGUAAUGCCUAGGAAUCUGCCUGGUAGUGGGGGAUAACGUCCGGAAACGGGCGCUAAUACCGCAUACGUCCUGAGGGUGAAAGUGGGGGGUCUUCGGACCUCACGCUAUCAGAUGAGCCUAGGUCGGAUUAGCUAGUUGGUGGGGUAAAGGCCUACCAAGGCGACGAUCCGUAACUGGUCUGCGAGGAUGAUCAGUCACACUGGAACUGAGACACGGUCCAGGCUACUAAGGGAGGCAGCAGUGGGGAAUAUUGGACAAUGGGCGAAAGCCUGAUCCAGCCAUGCCGCGUGUGUGAAGAAGGUCUUCGGAUUGUAAAGCACUUUAAGUUGGGAGGAAGGGCAGUAAGUUAAUACCUUGCUGUUUUGACGUUACCAACAGAAUAAGCACCGGCUAACUUCGUG